UCUGGUAAUGAUGGCAGAGAGGUCACACCCGUUCCCAUACCGAAACACGGAAGUUAAGCUCUCUAGCGCCGAUGGUAGUUGGGACCUUGUCCCUGUGAGAGUAGGACGUUGCCAGGC
rnacentral:rRNA from 1 species